GAUCAUGGCUCGGGAUGAACGCUGGCGGCGUGCCUAACACAUGCAAGUCGAGCGAAGCGCUUUGCUUAGAUUCUUCGGAUGAAGAGGAUUGUGACUGAGCGGCGGACGGGUGAGUAACGCGUGGGUAACCUGCCUCAUACAGGGGGAUAACAGUUAGAAAUGACUGCUAAUACCGCAUAAGACCACAGCACCGCAUGGUGCGGGGGUAAAAACUCCGGUGGUAUGAGAUGGACCCGCG
rnacentral:rRNA from 1 species